CCGAUGUGGCGCGGUGGUAGUGCGUUUGCCAGCCACGCAAAGGGCCCGGGUUCGAUCCCCGGCCGGA